rnacentral:snoRNA from 10 species
UUGAUGAUAUGAUGGCCACUGGUGGCUUAUGAGUCUUAUACAGUGAAUACAUGUUUGAAACUCUGAGGUCUGU